GACGAACGCUGGCGGCGUGCUUAACACAUGCAAGUCGAGCGAGGAGCUUGCUCCUAGCGGCGAACGGGUGAGUAACACGUGGGCAACCUGCCCUUGGCUCUGGGAUAACACCGGGAAACCGGUGCUAAUACCGGAUACGACCACUGAGGACAUCCUCUGGUGGUGGAAAGAAUUUCGGCCAAGGAUGGGCCCGCGGCCUAUCAGCUUGUUGGUGGGGUAAUGGCCCACCAAGGCGACGACGGGUAGCCGGCCUGAGAGGGCGACCGGCCACACUGGG
rnacentral:rRNA from 1 species